UGCCAGCCGCCGCGGUAAUACGAGGGGUGCUAGCGUAGUUCGGAAUUACUGGGCUUAAAGAGUUCGUAGGUGGUUGAAAAAGUUGGUGGUGAAAUCCCAGAGCUUAACUCUGGAACUGCCAUCAAAACUUUUCAGCUAGAGUAUGAUAGAGGAAAGCAGAAUUUCUAGUGUAGAGGUGAAAUUCGUAGAUAUUAGAAAGAAUACCAAUUGCGAAGGCAGCUUUCUGGAUCAUUACUGACACUGAGGAACGAAAGCAUGGGUAGCGAAGAGGAUUAGAUA
rnacentral:rRNA from 1 species